CCCUUAGAUGUUCUGGGCCGCACGCGUGCUACACUGACCGGCGCAACAAGCUUUUUUCCUUGGCUCGACAGGCCUGGGUAAUCUUCGAACGCCGGUCGUGAUGGGGAUAGAUCCUUGCAAUUUUUGAUCUUCAACGAGGAAUUCCUAGUAAAUGCGAGUCAUCAUCUCGCGUUGAUUACGUCCCUGCCCUUUGUACACACCGCCCGUCGCACCUACCGAUUGAAUGGUCCGGUGAAAUCUUCGGAUCUGAGAGAUGUCUGAUUAAUUUCGGACGCCUUUUGGAAAAGUUGUUUAAACCUUACCAUUUAGAGGAAGGUGAAGUCGUANCA
rnacentral:rRNA from 1 species